AGUUGCACACAGAUAACUAAUCUAUUGGCAAAUUGGCGUUUUUUCCUUUUGUAGGGAUUUGGGUUUGGUAGUUUGAGCAACAAGUAAUCCCAAAUCCCAGGCCUAGAUUACGAAAAAAUCUUUUUUUUACACCAUACCAUUGUUGAAAUCCUUGAUUGACUUCUCAAACUCCGGCGAGUACGGACGGAUUCAAUUUCGAUGCCAAUGGAGGACGAACAAGACACAUCCUUUCCCCACCACAAGCUCUGCGGUUAUCUCUGUGCUGUUCUCACUGUAGACACUUCUCCUCAUCCCUCCCCUCGACUCGGCACCCGCUUUCACAUCCUCCGCCAUAAUUCCCAGCUCCUAUUCAGAUCCGACGACGUCGUUUUGUCGCCGGUGAAUGCAGCCCAAUACCAAUGCGAGGGGGAACCGAAAUUGGUUGGCACGGAGGAAAGUUGCGGAAUUCCGAAGGGGAAGCGGAAGAGGAAGAGGAGCAUUGGACUGGUCAAUGGGAGUAUGAGCGUAGUGGAACAGAUUUACGCAUUGGUUACCAACAAGUGCUUGCAGAUUGAUGCUCGAAUGGUAUGGGCUGAGGAGGUCGGUGGUGGCUCGACUUCAACCUCAGCUGCAGGGGAGGUGAGAGCAGUGUUACUCGUCGAUGUUUAUCUUCCGAUUGAAUUUUGGUCCGGCUGGCAGUUUCCCAAAUGCGGAUCCAUUGCCGGUGCUGUGUUCAAACACUUGAGUUGUAAUUGGGAACAAAGAAGGUUGAUGAUUGCCAAUGAAGAUUAUUUUAAAGAUACCUUAGCAGCUGGUAGGGGCAUGUGGAAUCUCUCUGAUUGUCAUGUUCUUGGAUGCAAGCUACAUUAUGAUGUCACUGAUACUUCAAGGAAAAGACUAUUUGAACUUCAUGAAAUUUUUAAGAGUUUACCUAGUAUUACGGAGAUGGGAUAUCCCAACGCUUAUAGAAUACAACCUGUUGGUGACUCUUGUAGAUCUGGCAUAUGGGAACUAUCUGAUGACAUUCUGAUUAAAAUACUAGCUAUUCUUGGCCCAACAGAUUUAGUUAGGAUUGCUGUAACCUGUCGUAACUUAAGAUUCUUGGCUGCAUUAAUCAUGCCGUGUAUGAAACUUAAAUUAUUUCCUCAUCAGCAGGCAGCAGUACAGUGGAUGUUACAUCGUGAGCAGCAUGCUGAAGUCUUGCCUCAUCCCCUUUACAUGGCUUUCACGACUGAAGAUGGAUUCUCUUUUUACAUGAGCACUAUUUCUGGUGAAAUAGUUUCUGAUAUACCACCUACUGUUAAUGAUUUUCGUGGGGGAAUGUUUUGUGAUGAACCUGGCUUAGGCAAGACCAUAACAGCUCUUUCCCUUAUCCUCAAGACACUAGGAAAAUUGGCAGAUCCCCCAGAUGGUGUAAAUGUAAUCAGGUGUACUCAUAAUGGUGAUCAGGUAUGUGGCUAUUAUGAUCUUGGUGAUGAUUAUGCGGUUGGUAGUAUUGUGACCCCAGGAAAGAGGGAUGCUAGUAAGAAAGCACAAAUAGGUGCUGAGAAGCUUGGCUACUACUCGUCUAAAAGAGGCAGGCUAAGUUUUCUUAAUGAGCACGUUGCAGGAGUUAGGGAUUUAUGCUCUAAUAAAGGAAAAGAAACUCCGGCAGCUACAUGCCCUGAGCCAGCAAUGCCUGUGACUCGUUGCACAAGGAACUUGAGUCGCAUCAGGAAAAACCUGUUUUCCACUGUAGACAAAGAUUCUGGUUAUUUUAAUGAAACAAAGUCAGGAUUGAAUUCUUGUAGAGCUAAGCAUGUUUUGGAUGGAUCAGGACAAGUCUCUUGGGGAAAGCAAACUGAUAUGUCAUAUGAACUUUCGAAUGUGUCUAAGAAGCAUAGCAAAGUAACUACUGAUCAUGACCAUUGUAAUGAUACUUGGAUUCAGUGUGAUGCUUGUGGCAAGUGGCGGAGGUUUCAAGAAAGUAGUAUGUCCGGUACUAAUAUAACAUGGUUUUGUAGCAUGAAUACUGACCCUCUAUAUCAGAAUUGUACCGUUCCAGAGGAAACUUGGGACAAAGGGCAGCCAAUAAUGUAUUUACAAGGAUUCUACACCAAAGGAACAUCUGGAGGACAGGAACAGAAUAUUUCAUUCUUUGCUAGUGUGCUUAAGGAGCAUAGGUCCUUGAUGAAUUUUGCAACCAAGACAGCCUUGAGAUGGUUAAUUAAACUUUCUCCAGAAAAGCUCACAGAAAUGGAAACAAUUGGACUUAGAGGUCCUUUUAUCAGCACAUGUGUAGAGCCAGGUGAAGAUGCCCUUGAUUUUCAUAAAAUAUUUGAAUCAUUUGGUCUAAGAAGAGAAGUCAAAAAGCGUAUUAUUAUGUGGUAUUACCCACAAAACCUUCACAACUUGGUCUUUGAUGUGGCUGCUCUGAAAAUUGCUCUUUCUCUCCCACUGGAUUCAAUCCGGUUAUAUGUAUCAAAAGCAACCCUGAUAGUUGUUCCUGCAAAUCUAGUUGAUCAUUGGAAAACCCAAAUUCAGAAGCAUGUCAGACCUGGUCAGUUGCGGAUUUAUAUUUGGACAGAUAAUAGAAAGCCUUCUGCACACAGUCUGGCCUGGGACUAUGAUAUUGUCAUAACUACUUUCAAUCGCUUAAGUGUAGAAUGGGGAACCCAUAAGAGAAGUGUACUGAUGCAGGUGCAUUGGCUUAGGGUCAUGUUAGAUGAGGGGCACACCCUUGGAUCUAGUGUUGGCUUGACAAACAAACUGCAAAUGGCUGUUUCAUUAGUUGCUUCAAACCGUUGGAUAUUAACAGGAACACCAACUCCUAAUACACCCAACAGUCAUCUAUCACACCUUCAACCAUUGCUUAAGUUUCUUCAUGAGGAAGCAUAUGGGCAGAAUCAAAAGUCGUGGGAAGCUGGAAUUCUUAGGCCUUUUGAGGCGGAGAUGGAAGAAGGACGGUCUCGUCUGUUGCACUUACUUCGUAGGUGCAUGAUUAGUGCUCGGAAGGUAGAUUUGAAAAAUAUUCCGCCUUGCAUCAAGAAAGUUACAUUUGUUGAUUUUACCGAGGAACAUGCAAGAAGUUACAAUGAACUAGUAGUUACAGUACGGCGUAAUAUUCUAAUGGCUGACUGGAAUGAUCCUUCUCAUGUUGAAAGUCUGUUAAAUCCAAAGCAGUGGAAGUUCCGAAGCACAACUAUUAAAAAUAUUAGGCUAUCUUGCUGUGUGGCAGGGCAUAUAAAAGUAACAGAUGCUGGUGAAGAUAUUCAGGAAACUAUGGAUGUUUUAGUUGAAGGGGGUCUUGAUCCCAUGUCAGAAGAGUACGCUUUUAUCAAGUAUAACCUCCUUUAUGGUGGAAACUGUGUCAGGUGUGGGGAAUGGUGCCGUUUACCUGUCAUUACGCCAUGUAGGCAUCUUUUGUGUCUCGAAUGUGUUGAGUUGGACAGUAGAAAGUGCACUUAUCCUGGUUGUGGAAAUUUAUAUGAGAUGCAAACUCCUGAUACCUUAGCUCGGCCAGAAAAUCGAAAUCCAAAGUGGGCUGUCCCAAAAGAUCUUAUCGAGUUACAACCAUCAUAUAAACAGGACAACUGGGAUCCUGAUUGGCAAUCAACGUCUAGCAGUAAAGUUGCUUAUCUUAUACAUAAGUUGAAGGAACUACAGGAUGCUAACAGGGAGAUCUAUCAAACUAAAGAUGGUGGCACUGACAACCAAAACGUUGAGGGUUUACUUUGUACUUCUACAAUAAAUGAAUCUGAUGAACUGACCCAAGAGUUUGGUAGUUUCAGAAUGAGUCCUGCUCACAAAAGAAUUAUGGAUAAAGUAUUGGUAUUUUCUCAGUUUCUGGAGCAUAUACAUGUUAUUGAGCAACAGCUAACCAUUGCUCAUAUUAAAUUUGCUGGGAUGUAUAGUCCAAUGCAUUCUGGCAACAAGAUGAAGUCGUUGGCUUUGUUUCAACAUGAUGCAAAUUGCCUGGUGCUUUUGAUGGAUGGAAGUGCUGCACUGGGUCUCGAUUUGAGUUUUGUAUCACAUGUUUUUUUGAUGGAACCAAUAUGGGACAAAAGCAUGGAGGAACAAGUCAUCAGUCGUGCUCAUCGGAUGGGUGCUACACGUCCUAUUCAAGUGGAAACUUUAGCAAUGCGAGGUACCAUAGAAGAACAAAUGCUGACUUUCUUACAGGAUUCUGAAGAAUGCAGAAGAUUUUUAAAGCAAGAGUUUGGAAGGACUGAUUCUGAAGGUGCUCGAACGCAGCGCUCAUUACAUGAUUUUGCUGAGAGUAAUUAUCUCUCUCAUAUCGGGUUUGUGCGGACAAAUCCUAAGAUCUAAAAAGUCAUGCAACCUUUUUGUGCGUGUAGCAAUCUUCUUUAUGAUUGAAACAUUGCUUCAGAGAAUUCUAGGAUAACCGCAUGUAGCAAUUAAAGAGGAAUAGCAGAAUUUUAACCAUAUGGGACAAAGUUUAUAAUUAUAUUAGAAGGGAUUGUAGAUAGGUUUUGACCAUAGAAAUAUGCGCUUUUGAUUCAUUAUGUAUUGCCUAUUGUGCGGAGGCUGAGGCUGAGGCUGAAUUGAUGCAGCAGAUUGCUGGACAUAAAUUGACCUAAGAUGAAGUCUGCUAACAACUACUAAUUUCAAGAAACAUUGCCUGAAAUGGCAUCUUUUAGAUACCUUUUUGUAGGUUGCAUUUGUAAGUUGUAACCAUCUUCUCGUAAAUCGUUAUUCUUUUGAUUGAGAUACGAGUGAAAAUAAUUGGGGUAUCUAGCUUUUUCUUUUGGUCUUAGCAAAGGUGAAUGUGGUGAUGGGGAUAUGGACAUUUAUGUACAUAUAAUCAUUAUUAUGAUUUAUACAUAUUGAGGAAUUAAUUUCUUGUCAA